GAGUUUGAUCGUGGCUCAGAUUGAACGCUGGCGGCAUGCCUUACACAUGCAAGUCGAACGGCAGCAUGAUCUAGCUUGCUAGAUUGAUGGCGAGUGGCGAACGGGUGAGUAAUACAUCGGAACGUGCCCUGUAGUGGGGGAUAACUAGUCGAAAGAUUAGCUAAUACCGCAUACGACCUGAGGGUGAAAGUGGGGGACCGCAAGGCCUCAUGCUAUUGGAGCGGCCGAUGUCUGAUUAGCUAGUUGGUGGGGUAAAGGCCCACCAAGGCGACGAUCAGUAGCUGGUCUGAGAGGACGAUCAGCCACACUGGGACUGAGACACGGCCCAGACUCCUACGGGAGGCAGCAGUGGGGAAUUUUGGACAAUGGGCGAAAGCCUGAUCCAGCAAUGCCGCGUGUGUGAAGAAGGCCUCGG
rnacentral:rRNA from 1 species